ACCCUGUCUGUACUCAGACAGACACUGCCAGAGAUCCAACAGAGAAACAUGUUUCUUACAUCCCUACUCCUCCUGGCAGUCCUGCCAUAUAUACACAGCAUUAGUUUGACCUCCUCCCCUGCUCAACUCAAACCUCCUGGAGGAUCAGUGAAACUAUCUUGCCAAGUCUCUGGCUAUGUCCUGACAGACUAUGGUACAGGUUGGAUACGACAGCAGCCAGGGAAAACACUGGAGUGGAUUGGGAUCAUCUGGGGUGGUGGAUCCAUCAACUCUGGAGCCUCUUUUAAGAGCAGAUUCACCAUCUCCAGAGACAGUAGUAAUGUACUGUACUUAGACAUCACCAGUCUGCAGGCUGAGGACACAGCUGUGUAUUAUUGUGCAAAAACUGGAGGCACAGUGCAACAACUCAAUGGAAGACCUACAUAUUACAGUGAUAAACUGAAAAACAAAUUCAGUAUCUCCAGAGACAUGUCCAGCAUCACAAUGACUUUAACAGGACAGAGUCUGCAGACUGAAGACACAGCUGUGUAUUAUUGUGCUCGCCAUCCAUACUGA